CAGAACAAAACAAGUUGGCCCAGAAUACAAGUCCCAAAAUACAAAAACAGAGGCCCAAAUCCAGUAGCCCAAAGCAGUGGCAGAAACCCUAGGGUUUCUGAGGUAAGCUUCAGCCGCCGCAACCCAAAUCUUCCACACAAGCAGAAUCUCCACGCGAUCUUCACCUGCACAGCAAGAAACAACAAAAAAUGGCAAGAAAAUCAAGAUUGCAAAUCAAAUAGAUAUCAAGUGAGAUAUUAGAAGAUUUCUUAACUUUUCUUAUUUCAUGUUUGCUAUAAAAGCAAACUCGAAACAUUGUAACCGGGGGAUUUGAAGUCAAUAAGAAAAACAAUUAUUUUCACAGCAAAUAAAAAACAGAGAGCUCAAUACUGAGAAAGCAGAAAAUCGAUCCAAAGGUCUAUAUUUUUUCUUUCUGUUUUACUUUAGUUUACUGUUUUUUUUUGUUUUUUUAUUUGCAUAUAAAUAAAUAUAAAUACAAAAGGAAGUAAAACAACCUGUAUUCGAGUCCCAACCACCGCGGACGGGCGAAGAAGUCAUCUCUUAGGAUAGACGGUCGGAAACCGAAAGGUUUCUUGAGAUUUGGGCCCUUUCCAUCAAUAUUUUGGCAAUUUCGGGACUAGAUAGGUUUUAGAGGUUUUGAAAGGGCCGGAUCUGAGGUUUUCGGCUUUUCGGCCACCGCAUACGGCGGCGCCGUCGCCGG
rnacentral:lncRNA from 1 species